GAAAAAGUAAUUAAAUAAUAAUAUUACUUUGUCAAAGUUAAAUUGCUAGACUUUAGCCUUUUUCC
rnacentral:tRNA from 1 species